rnacentral:tRNA from 1 species
GCCCGGAUGGCGGAAUUGGUAGACGCAAGGGACUUAAAAUCCCUCGCUCAUUACGAGCGUGCCGGUUCAAUUCCGGCUUCGGGCACCA